rnacentral:rRNA from 1 species
ACUUCGUGCCAGCAGCCGCGGUAAUACGAAGGGUGCAAGCGUUACUCGGAAUUACUGGGCGUAAAGCGUGCGUAGGUGGUUGUUUAAGUCUGUUGUGAAAGCCCUGGGCUCAACCUGGGAACUGCAGUGGAAACUGGAUGACUAGAGUGUGGUAGAGGGUAGCGGAAUUCCCGGUGUAGCAGUGAAAUGCGUAGAGAUCGGGAGGAACAUCCAUGGCGAAGGCAGCUACCUGGACCAACACUGACACUGAGGCACGAAAGCGUGGGGAGCAAACAGGAUUAGAUACCCUGGUAGUCCACGCCCUAAACGAUGCGAACUGGAUGUUGGGUGCACUUUGGCACGCAGUAUCGAAGCUAACGCGUUAAG